rnacentral:rRNA from 1 species
GACGAACGCUGGCGGCGUGCUUAACACAUGCAAGUCGAACGGAAAGGCCCUGCUUUUGUGGGGUGCUCGAGUGGCGAACGGGUGAGUAACACGUGAGUAACCUGCCCUUGACUUUGGGAUAACUUCAGGAAACUGGGGCUAAUACCGGAUAGGAGCUCCUGAUGCAUGGGGGGGGUUGGAAAGGUUCGGCGGGUGGGGAUGGACUCGCGGCUUAUCAGCUUGUUGGUGGGGUAGUGGCUUACCAAGGCUUUGACGGGUAGCCGGCCUGGGAGGGUGACCGGCCACAUUGGGACUGCGAUACGGCCCAGACUCCUACGGGAGGCAGCAGUGGGGAAUAUUGCACAAUGGGCGGAAGCCUGAUGCAGCAACGCCGCGUGCGGGAUGACGGCCUUCGGGUUGUAAACCGCUUUCGCCUGUGACGAAGCGUGAGUGACGGUAAUGGGUAAAGAAGCACCGGCUAACUACGUG